GGCGCGAAGGAACAGAAGGGAACGUGGUCAGUUGGAGCCCUGUUGGGCUCCUGGGCCUAAUCCUCUGCCCUUGGAGCCUCCCUCCUGCCGUGCAAAGCCUGAGCCCUGGCCCUACAACCCACCCAGGGCCCUGCCUCUACACUCAGAGACCCCGUCCAACGCGCUGGGCCUAAACCCCACCCACACACCCUCACUCAGGGCCCUACCCCCAAACUCCGGAACUCCACAUUCCAGAGGGCCCCCUUUCCACGUGCUGCCUCUCCCCUCUGCGCAGGUCCUAAGCAGAGGCCCCGCCCCAUGCUUGAACGUCUCCCCCCUACCUGCCUAGGUCCCACCCCACCCUAAACCCCGCCCCGGCCUAAGUUCCACCCCCGCCUAAACUCCGCCCCCAUAGCCAAGGCUUUUUUUUUUUUCUCUUUUAGAUAGGGGUUCUGUUUUACCUUGUUGAUUCAUUAUUUUUCCUAAUAUAUUUUUUAUCUUUCUAAUUUUAUUUUGUUUUUUAUUCUUUGAUCUUGUACUGUGCCUUUUUUUCUUUCUUUUUUUUUUUUUUACCGCACCAUGAAGCUUGUGGGAUCUUGGUUCCCAGGCCGGAAGUCAGGCCUGAGCUCCUAUGGUGGGAGCUCUGAGUCCAAACCGCUGGACUGACAGAGAACCUCAGACCCCAGGGAAUAUCAAUUGGAGUGAGGCCUCCUGGAGGACCUCAUCUCAGCACCAAGACCUAGCUCUGUCCAACUGCCUGCAAACUCCAGUGCUGGACGUCUCAGGCCAAACAACCAGUAAGGCAGGAACAGAGCACCACCCAUCAAAAAAGAAAAAAAAAAAUGAAACAACAAAAAAAUAUGUUACAGAUGAAGGAGGAAGGUAAAAACCUACAAGACCAAAUAAAUGGAGAUGAAAUAGGCAACCUACCUGAAAACGAAUUCAGAGUAAUGAUAAUAAAGAUGAUCCAAAAUCUCGGAAAAAGAAUGCAGAAAAUACAAAAAACAUUUAACAAGGAUCUAGAAGAACUAAAGAGCAAAUAAACAGUGAUGAACAACACAAUUACUGAAAUUAAAAAUACUCUAGAAGGAAUCAAUUGCAGAAUAACUGAAGCAGAAGAACGGAUAAGUGAGCUGGAAGAUAAAAUGGUGGAAAUAACUGCCAGGGAGCAGAAUAAAGAAAAAAGAAUGGAAAGAAUUGAGGACAGUCUCAGAGACCUCUGGGACAACAUUAAAUGCACCAACAUUCGAAUUACAGGGGUCCCAGAAGAAGAAGAGAAAAAAGAAAGGGUCUGAGAAAAUAUUUGAAGAGAUUAUAGUCGAAAACUUCCCUAACAUGGGAAAGGAAAUAGUCAAUCAAGUCCAAGAAGCACAGAGCAUCUCAUACAGGAUAAACCCAAAGAGAAACACGCCAAGACACAUAUUAAUCAAACUAUCAAAAAUUAAAUACAAAGAAAAAAUCUUAAAAGCAGCAAGAACAACAGCAAAGCAACAAAUAACAUACAAGGGAAUCCCUAUAAUGUUAAUGGAUGAUUUUUCAGCAGAAACUCUGCAAGCCAGAAGGGAGUGGUGGGACAUAUUUAAAGUGAUGAAAAGGAAAAACCUACAACCAAGAUUACCCAGCAAGGAUCUCAUUCAGAUUCGAUGGAGAAAUUAAAACCUUUACAGAUAAGCAAAAGUUAAGAGAAUUCAGCAUCACCAAAGCAGCUUUACAACAAAUGCUAAAGGAACUUCUCUAGGCAGGAAACACAAGACAAGGAAAAGACCUACAAAAACAAACCCAAAACAAUUAAGAAAAUGGUAACAGGAACAUACAUAUCGAUAAUUACCUUAAAUGUAACUGGAUUAAAUGCUCCAACCAAAAGACAUAGACUGGCUUAAUGGAUACAAAAACAAGAUCUGUACAUAUGCUGUCUACAAGAGACCCACUUCAGACCUAGGGACACAUACAGACUGGAAGUGAGGGGAUGGAAAAAGAUACUCCAUGCAAAUGGAAAUCAAAGGAAAGCUGGAGUAGCAAUUCUCAUAUCAGAAAAUAUAAACUUUAAAGACUAUUACAAGAGACAAAGAAGGAUACUACAUAAUGAUCAAGGGAUCAACCCAAGAAGAAGAUAUAACAAUUGUAAAUAUUUAUGCACCCAGCCUAGGAGCACCUCAAUACAUAAGGCAAAUGCUAACAGCCAUAAAAGGGGAAAUCGACAGUAACACAAUCAUAGUAGGGGACUUUCUAACACCCCACUUUCACCAAUGGACAGAUCAUCCAAAAUGAAAAUAAAUAAGUAAACACAAGCUUUAAAUGACACAUUAAACAAGAUGGACUUAAUCUAUAUUUAUAGGACAUUAUAUCCAAAAACAACAGAAUACACUUUCUUCUCAAGUGCUCAUGGAACAUUCUCCAGGAUAGAUCAUAUCUUGGGUCACAAAUCAAGCCUUGGUAAAUUUAAGAAAAUGGAAAUCGUAUCAAGUAUCUUUUCCAACCACAACACUAUGAGACUAGAUACCAAUUACAAGAAAAAAACUGUACAAAAUACAAACACAUGGAGGAUAAACAAUACACUACUAAAUAACCAAGAGAUCACUGAAGAAAUCAAAAAAUACCUAGAAAAAAUGACAAUGAAAACACGAUGACCCAAAACCUAUGGGAUGCAGCAAAAAAGUUCUAAGAGAGAAGUUUAUAGCAAUACAAUCCUACCUCAAGAAACAAGAAAAAUCUCAAACAACCUAACCUUACACCUAAAGCAAUUAGAGAAAGAAGAAUGAAAAAACCCCAAAGUUAACAGAAGGAAAGAAAUCAUAAAUAUCAGAUCAGAAAUAAAUGAAAAAGAAAUGAAGGAAACAAUAGCAAAGAUCAAUAAAACUAAAAGGUGGUUCUUUGAGAAGAUAAACAAAAUUGAUAAACCAUUAGCCAGACUCAUCAAGAAAAAAAGGGAGAAGACUCAAAUCAACAGAAUUAGAAAUGAAAAAGGAGAAGUAACAACUGACACUGCAGAAAUACAAAGGAUCAUGAGAGAUUACUACAAGCAACUAUACGCCAAUAAAAUGGACAGCCUGGAAGAAAUGGACAAAUUCUUAGGAAAGCACAACCUUCUGAGACUGAACCAGGAAGAAAGAGGAAAUAUAAACAAACCAAUCACAAGCACUGAAAUUGAAACUGUGAUGAAAAAUCUUCCAACAAACAGAAGUCCAGGACUAGAUGGCUUCACAGGUGAAUUCUGUCAAACAUUUAGAGGCGAGCUAACACCUAUCCUUCUCAAACUCUUCCAAAAUAUAGCAGAGGGAAGAACACUCCCAAACUCAUUCCACGAGGCCACCAUCACCCUGAUACCAAAACCAGACAAAGAUGUCACAAAAAAAGAAAACUACAGGCCAAUAUCUCUGAUGAAUAUAGAUGCAAAAAUCCUCAACAAAAUACUAGCAAACAGAAUCCAACAGCACAUGAAAAGGAUCAUAUACUAUGAUUAAGUGGGGUUUAUCCCAGGAAUGCAAAGAUUCUUCAAUAUAUGCAAAUCAAUCAAUGUGAUACACCAUAUUAACACAUUGAAGGAGAAAAACCAUAUGAUCAUCUCAAUAGAUGCAGAAAAAGCUUUUGGCAAAAUUCAACACCCAUUUAUGAUAAAAACUCUCCAGAAAGUAGGUAUAGAGGGAACCCACCUCAAGAUAAUAAAGGCCACAUAUGACAAACCCACAGCCAACAUCGUUCUCAAUGGUGAAAAACUGAACCAUUUCCUCUAAGAUCAGCAACAAGACAAGGUUGCCCACUGUCACCGCUGUUAUUCAACAUAGUUUUGGAAGUUUUAGCCACAGCAAUUAGAGAAGACAAAAAUAAAAGGAAUCCAAAUUGGAAAAGAAGUAAAACUAUCACUGUUUGCAGAUGACAUGAUACUAUACAUAGAGAAUCCUAAAGAUGCUACCAGAAAACUACUAGAACUAAUCAAUGAAUUUUGUAGAGUAGCAGGAUACAAAGUUAAUGCACAGAAAUCUCUUGCAUUCCUAUACACUAAUGAUGAAAAAUCUGAAAGCGAAAUUAAGGAAACAUUCCCAUUUGCCAUUGCAACAAAAAGAAUAAAAUACCUAGGAAUAAACCUACCUAAUGAGACAAAAGACCUGUAUGUAGAAAACAAUAAGAAACUGAUGAAAGAAAUUAAAGAUCAUACAAACAGACGGAGAGAUAUACCAUGUUCUUGGAUUGGAAGAAUCAACAUUGUGAAAAUGACUAUACUACCCAAAGCAAUCUACAGAUUCAGUGCAAUCCCUAUCAAACUACCAAUGGCAUUUUUCACAGAAUUAGAACAAAAAAUUUCGCAAUUUGUAUGGAAACACAAAAGACCUCGAAUAGCCAAAACAAUCUUGAGAAAGAAAAACGGAGCUGGAGGAGUCAGACUCCCGUACUUCAGACUAUAUUACAAAGAUACAGUAAUCAAGACAGUAUGGUACUGUGGUGCUGGGAAAACUGUACAGCUACAUGUAAAAGAAUGAAAUUAGAACACUUCCUAACACCAUACACAAAAAUAAACUCAAAAUGGGUUAAAGACCUAAGUGUAAGGCCAGACACUAUAAAACUCUUAGAGGAAAAUAUAGGCAGAACACUUUAUGACAUAAAUCACAGCAAGAUCCUUUUUGACCCACCUCCUAGAGUAAUGGAAAUAAAAACAAAAAUAAACAAAUGGGACCUACUGAAACUUAAAAGCCUUUGCACAGUAAAGGAAACCAUAAAAAAAACGAAAAGACAACCCUCAGAAUGGGAGAAAAUAUUUGCAAAUGAAGCAACUGACAAAGGAUUAAUCUCCAAAAUAUACAAGCAGCACAUGCAGCUCAAUAUAAAGAAAAAAAAAAAACCAAUCCAAAAAUAGGCAGAAGACCUAAAUAGACAUUUCUCCAAAGAAGAUAUACAGAUUGUCAACAAACACAUGAAAAGAUGCUCAAUAUCACUAAUCAUUAGAGAAAUGCAAAUCAAAACUACAACGAGGUAUCACCUCACACUGGUCAGAAUGGCCAUCAUCAAAAAAUCUACAAACAAUAAAUGCUGGAGAGGGUGUGGAGAAAAGGGAACCCUCUUGCACUGUUGGUGGGAAUGUAAAUUGAUACAGCCACUGUGGAGAACAGUAUGGAGGUUCCUUAAAAAACUAAAAAUAGAACUACCAUAUCACCCACUACUGGGCAUAUACCCUGAGAAAACCAUAAUUCAGAAAGAGUGAUGUACCACAAUGUUCAUUGCAGCACUAUUUACAAUAGCCAGGACAUGGAAGCAACCUAAGCAUCCAUCGACAGAUGAAUGGGUAAAGAAGAUGUGGCACAUUUAUACAAUGGAAUAUUAGCCAUAAAAAGAAACGAAAUUGAGUUAUUUUUAGUGAGGUGGAUGGACCUAGAGUCUGCAAGCAGAGUGAAGUAAGUCAGAAAGAGAAAAACAAAUACCAUAUGCUAACACAUAUAUAUGGAAUCUAAAAAAAAAAAAAAAAAAAAAAAAGGUUCUGAUGAACCUAGGGGCAGGACAGGAAUAAAGACGCAGACAUAGAGAAUGGACCUGAGGACACGGGGAGGGGGAAGGGUAAGCUGGGAUGAAGUGAGAGAGUAACAUUGACAUAUAUACACUACCAAAUGUAAAAUAGAUAGCUAGUGGGAAGCAGCUGCAUAGCACAGGGAGAGGUGCUUUGCGACCACCUAGAGGGGUGAGAUAGGGAAGGUGGGAGGGAGGCGUAAGAGGGAGAGGAUAUGGGGAUAUAUGUAUACAUACAGCUGAUUCACCUUGUCAUACAGCAGAAACACAGCAUUGUAAAGCAAUUAUACUCAAAGAUGUUUUAAAAAAUGUCAUAUAUAUAUAUUACAGCCAUGACCGUUAGCCAAGUAGCUACAAAUAAAACAUUUUUGGGAAAAAAAAAUUUUUGGAACCAACCCACCUUAGAGUGUGUGUAAAAAUAUGUGGCAGUUUAGACUUAAUUCCAGGAACAUCUCUGUAUUAUAGCUGUAGUGCCUAAAGCUGUUAGCUCUGGUAUUUGGAGAGCCUUUAAAAGUCUAUACAUGUCUUUGUCAGUCUGUAACUUACCUCCUCUGGGCUUGUGAAAGUGUGAAGGCUGCAUACAUAAUGCAAAACUCAGUCCCUUCAAUCCCUCUCCCAGCAGCAAAUUCACUCUCCAAGAUGCUCAUGACUCAUUUUCCUUUCUCUUCCCUGCUCAGAGUUCUGAUACAAACAGGAAGCACAGGGGAACAGAUAAUAAAAUAAGAAAUCCAACUGUGGUUCCAUAAUACUUAUGAGAGCCUACAGAGUGCUAGAAACCUAGCUCAGGGCUUCUCAACGUGGCUGCCCACUGCUUGCACCGGGGCAGCUUUAACUAUGACUGAAGCCAGGAUCCCACUCAGAGAUGCUGAUGUAAUUGGUGUGGGGUGUGGCCCAGCCUCAGGAAUUCAGAGAGCUCCUCAAGUAUUUCUAGUGUGUGGCCAGGGUUGGGGACCUCUGCUCUAGACACACAGUGGUGGUCGAGAUAGACCCGGGGUUGGAAAUGGUCACAAGCUGUUAGCUAGGAUGUGCCCCAUCCAAACUUUGUACUUGCUCAGACGUUUCAAACAGGCAGCUUCGCAGCCAAAAUAAAUAAAUAAUUUUAAAAGUUAUUUUUUUAAAAAAAGGGACUUCCCUGAUGGCACAGUGGUUAAGAAUCUGCCUGCCAAUGCAGGGGACACGGGUUCGAGCACUGGUCCGGGAAGAUCCCACAUGCCACGGAGCAACUAAGCCCAUGUGCCACAACUACUGAAGCCGCGCACCAUGUGUUGCUCUGCAACAAGAGAAGCCACUGCAAUGAGAAGCCCGCGCACCGCAACGAAGAGUAGCCCCCACUCGCCACAGCUAGAGAAAGCAGCAGCAAAGACCCAAUGCAGUCGAAAAUAAUUUUUUAAAAAAGUUAUAAAAAAACAGCAGCUUGAGAGGAGGUUUGAAAUAGGACAGCCUGUUCUGUCAGGUCCCAGAAUGUAUAUUUAUUAAGUGCCAUUAAAAGGGACCUGAAGAGAGACUUCCCUGGUGGUGCAGUGGUUGAGUCUGCCUGCCGAUGCAGGGGACACGGGUUCGUGCCCCGGUCUGGGAAGAUACCACAUGCUGCGGAGCGGCUAGGCCCAUGAGCCAUGGCCGCUGAGCCUGCGCAUCCGGAGCCUGUGCUCCACAAUGGGAGAGGCCACAACAGUGAGAGGCCCGCGUACCACAAAAAAAGAAAAGGACCUGAACAAAACUGGAUAUUCUUGUAGGCAUAAGGGAGAAAACUGAAAUAUUCUUGGAACCAAAUCUAUCUCAUGAGGAAAAAUAACAAUGUAUUCAGUAGCACAUAGGUAAUGGUUUCUCCUAGGGGAUGAGAUUAAAAGUCACUGAAGGGUGAGAAAAUGCAUAAUUGAGAAGAUGGAGAAUGGCCUGAAUUUUCUCCAGGGGACUCUGUGUAAUGUGCCUUUCCCCCUCCAAAUACCUAGAACCAUUGCCCUGUGACUUAUGUAUUUCAAUGCUGGACUGUCACAUAUUAGACUUACAAAGGUAUUUGUCUGUGAAUUGAACAAGACUUCCAGGAGGUGAAGACUGAUUCACAAGGGUGACCCUUGCUCCCUGCAACAGAGUGAGACCUCUUUAAUCUCUUGGGCUCCAACCUAGUUUUAGACAUGAGGACAAGAUUACAAUAUCAAAGGAAAGAUGAGCGAAUUCUUGGUUAAUGUGGUGAGUCUAGCUUGGUGAAUAACUGAUGUCAACUACUGGGAAUAAAGGACUUGAAGAUGAAAUGUCGCUGAAAUUUGUGUGACUCUAACCAUUGGAUGGUCAGAUGCCCCAGUGUGGCAUUUGUUCACUAGAUACUUGCCAUAUAUAAAAAUGGCACCUCCUUUAUUCAUGUGUUCAUUUAGUGAGUGUCUACUGCACAUCUUUGGUGCCUCCAGGAUUUGGCCUUAGCUGCUGGGGAUGCAGUGAGAAGUCAGAGAGACCAGGACCCUGCCCUCCCAAAGCCCACAGUUUGAUGAGGGAGGCAGACAAGGCAACAGUUAAACACAGUGUUAAUUGUUAGGAUAGGGUGAUAACAGGUGCCACCAGAGCCCCGGGGAGAGGCCAGCCCCUGACUCAGACUUGGUGGCUAAGGAGGGCUUCCUGGAAGAAGUGAUAUCCAAGCUGAUGGGUAACAGGUUAGAUGAAGGUGGGAGGGAGGGCACAUGCAAAGGCCCAGAGUUAAGAGCAAGCACAGCUCAUCAGGGAACUAAAAUGCUACAGAGCUGGAACACAGGGUGUGCGUAAGGGUGGUGGGUACAGUGCGAGAUGGCUUAGUGAGGUCUGCCUGGUAAGGAGCUUUGGGGUUUAUUCUGAGGGCAGUGGUGGGGGACACUAAAGGGUUUCAAGCAGAGGAGUGACACGCCCAGAGUUGUGUUUUAGGAUGCAAGUUCUGGUUUAUCCUGGAAUCUCCCUAAGCAUCUGUCAUAUGCCUCAAGUAAUAGAUGUUCAGUACACGUUGCUCAGAUAAACAGCCCAGAUGGGAUGGGAACACUGAAACCUACUUCCAAGGAAUCUCCCAUCCAGCUGUAAAAGACAGACUGGCACCUGGCACCACAAGGCAGGAUGCCGUCAGCCCCAGAAGGGUGCUAUUUACCAGGCUCAUGGGUGUUCAGACAAGGAGGAGCUUUGGGGUCGCUGAGGUGGUCAGGGAGGCUUCCUGGAGGAAGUGGGGCAGGUGCUGGCUUUGUGGGAUAAGUAGGGUUGGGGGAAGCAAAAGGGAAGGGGAAGCCUUCUCAGGCCCAGGGAGGCAGUGUAAUGGUAUGAGAAGUGCCCAGCACUUGACCUUAAAACCCCUGAGUUCAAGGCCCGCUUGGCCAUAGGCAAGUAGCAAACUCAUUUAUUGUGGUUUCUGCAUGUGGGGAAGUUUGGUGAGGGCCCCCAGCCUGCGUUGUCCUCCCUAUUCAGCCCAAAAAAUACUCACUGUAGAAUUCUGUCUUUUCUCAAGGAGUCGCUGGCUUCCUCCCCCAGGACCUACCUUCCAGCAUGGAAAAGUCAUUUUAGGAUCUGUUGUGGUAGGGCAGAGACUCAAAUACCUGGACUGGUGGGUAAGGAAAGAACUGGAUUCCACUCCUGGCAACAUCCCGAGGAGCUGGGUUCCUUAACAAUCCACUCACUUAACCUUGUUCUUCUGUUUUCUUAUCAGUAAUUUUUGAACUUAUGUUUUCUGUUUUUCUCAUCUGUAAAAUGGGUACAAUUCCUGUUCUGACAGGGUGAGUGAGAGGAUUAAAUGAAACACUUGUGAAUGGUGGCGGAUCACAACAGGAGCAUCACGGCUGUGCAGGGAGGAAAUAUGUGAACUCUGACCACUAGGUGGCAGCAGGGCUCUAGGAAUCACCUGAGAUUGGGCUGGGAGGCGCCACCUCUGCAAAUUGAAACGCCCAGGGUGCUGGGCAGGUGGUGCAAAUGAGAGGAAGGGCCAGGUGAAAGACAUUAGGGAGUGGCAGGGACUGUGGUGGACCACAGCAUACAUAUUCCAUCUAAGGAGCUUGCAGCUUCUUGGCUUCAACCAGUGUUGCCACAUCAGAAUGAGGGCCCAGUGGUGCCAGAGAUUCUGAUUUUUCAAGAGAAGCCAGAAACCAGGGUUUUGUUUUGAUUUUUGAUGUGAAAUCUGUGUGGAGAUUGUGUGGGUCACAACAGGUCCCCCUUUUUGCAUCUUCUGCCACAGAGUGUGGGUUGGCUGCCCUGGUAGAGAAUCUCCUCUGAAGAAUUAGCUUCACAUCUGUUUUCUGUGAAAUGCCGUCAUGUGUCUCCACUUCACUCACUACUUCAUUAGAUGUUAAUUUUCCUUCCUUGAAUCUCUGGGGAGAACUGUUUCGUUUUCUGCUAUUGUUACUAUUGUUGUCAUCAAACAUUUAUUCAAUCGUGGGCCAUAUUUUCUGACCACCCAUGAGGCUCUCCAUAGUACCUAUUUCACAAGGUUCUUUUGAGGAAUAAAUGAGAUACUGAUAUAAUAUCGCUUAGCCCAGCACCUGGCUCAUUAGCUCUCAAUAAAUAUUAUUAUGGGGACUUUAGAAAAGAUGGCAUGACAUUUGGAGGAACGUUUGCAGGGCCUGCCUUUCUCUCUAUAUUUGGGAUGGUGACAAGGCCUGGCUACUCCCUUAUGUAGAUGAAGCCCCCUGGUUCCGCUCCUGAGGGCCUAGUAGAGGUUGGAUACAGCCCUUCCCUCAGAGGCUGCUGUCACACCCCAAAAGCAUUCCUGGGACUUUCCCUUGUCCGGUUCCCUGGUGCUGCGUCUGGGUCAGGGUGGGCAGAUUUCCCCAUCCAGGGCAAUCCCAAUCUUGGGCAGGAGUGGCCCAGAUUCUCCUGCCUCUCCCCAGCGAGAGGGCUUUCUGCAGUCCAUUGCACCCGGACAAGUCAGGCAGGUACUCAGGCAAUAAUCAGGCAUGCAGAUGCGCUGGAGCAGCAACUCUGGUCAGAGGCUCAGGGCCCUUUACAUCCAGGAGCAUCUUCUCAGGGUGUUCCAAGGGGACCCAGCAGCUUUGGGGACAAAGACUCCUUGCUGGAGGCUCCACUGGCAGAUUCAGGAACAAGGAGAGGGUGAGAUCAGAUUUGUCCUUGAGGGCUCUGACUUAUGCUGGGCUCAGGAGCACCAGCUAAUGCUGUUCAGUUAGGUCUCAGGCCACCACCAUGCUUCCAGGAUACCUCAGGGUGCUUCUGGGUUCCCUGUUUGGGGCCCAUUUGCCUGUCUUCAGGGGUCUGGGCAUCCUUGAGGCCUGUGAGUAGAAAGAGAGCUCAGUGGCUGCAGGUUUGGGACAGCCCUGAGCCUUAGGAGGAUUGGGCCAGAGUGGGCAUAGGACUUGCAUCCACCCCUUCUGAGCAGCUCACAUCUCAGAGGUUGGUUAUUUGCUUGCUUGCUCUCACAUUUAUUCCCUGCCCAGCUCAGCUCUGUACUUCAGGGAACUACAUUGCCCAGGAUCCUUUGUUCUCUGGUUUUCUGGUGGGUUUGUCCAAUGGGAGGCACUGGCAGGGGGAAGGAGGGGAGAACCCAAGGUAUUUCUCCCUCUCUCUGCUUCAGGCAGCAUCUCUGCCUUGGCUGGUCUUCUCCAUGGUUCCCACUUCCACUGGAUGGUCCUUCCCUCUUGGUCUUAGGUCCCGUUGGACAGGCCUGGCUAUACUUCCAGUUUCUGUAAGAUAGCUUCAGAUACUGGGCCCUAAUAACGCUGCCUCUUCCCUGCGUUCCUCCAACCUAAAGACUAGAGUGUCUUUUUGCUGUUGUUAAUCCCUGUGGUGAUUCUAGGAUCUUCUUUCACCUGUGUAACUUCCUCCCUAAGUCCCUCUGUUCACAAGGCAUGGAGUGGUUCUCUCUCUGACUGGACAGUGACUUUUGUGCAGCUCAGCAGCUAGGGAUACAGGGAGGGAGUGGGUAGUAGAGCUGGGGGGCUCCUAGGUACCUCUGCCCCUCAGGCUGCCGAGCCCUCAGAGAAGAUUGGGACCAUCACCAGGUCUGCUGUACCUUCCCUGGGUCAGGGAACAGUCCGACCCUCCCCACCCAGAUCUCUUGGAAGUGUCUUCAGCUAUAGACAGCAGCUGAGUGGGUCACGCUCCAGGGUCAGUGGCUGUGAGAAUCUGCCGAGCAGCCCUUGUUUGGGCCAACUGAAGCUGUUCUGCAGGGCCCAGAGAAGGACACAGAGGAGACCCAAGGGCCACUGUGUGACAGCAGAGCCAGGCUGUGGGCAGGAGGAGAGGGUCGCCUCCUUCCAGCCACAGUGCCUCGAGUCUGGCCCUGGCUCAGGAGGGACGGUGAGCCCCCGGUCAGUGAGACGGGAAGUGGAGAUGAGGCUUCUGGCCAGGAAAAAGCCUGCUUGUCUUGAUUCUGGGGUCUCAGUGAUUCCAGGCACAUCAGCAGAGCCUUUGGUCUGGGGAAAGGCUAGUGCACUACUAGCAAUCACCACAGCUUCUGUUCACUUCUCACAGGGCUUUUUGAGGGUUACGUGAGGAAAUCCACUUUACGUGAUUAAUCCAGUGCUGGCACAUAGGAAGCUCUCAAGACCUGCGAACUAAAGAAAAACAAACAAGAAAACACAAAUCGCAACAGCAACCAGGCACUGUGGACCUUAUUCUGUAGGAUAAGAGGGUGUCUAGUUAGUACUGAGCCCCAGGCCUCUCCCCUGGAGCAGAGCUGGGGCUGGCAACACAGUUCCAGCUGCCAAGGCUAGGAAGAAGGCCGAGUCAGGUGAAGGAGUUGUGAGGUUGGGAGGUCACAGUGAUCUCAGGGCACACUCCCCAGAGACGUGGGGAUGAGCAGUAGGUGUCCAGAACCAUAAUGGGGCACUUGAGGACAGCUAUCACCUUGUGUCCAGGCAGGACAGAGAUCAAGGCUAGGUCAGAAAGCAGGCAGUAGGAUCCCAGUCUUUGGGUUGAGGUUCAAGUACUAGGCCCUGGGGACUUAAAGAUCAGGUCCACUAAAAAUACAAAGAUCCUGGCAAGAGGCAGGAUGGAGAGCUAGACACAGGGACUUCAUUUUGAGCCCCGGGGACCAGAGCUGCUGGAAAUCCUCCCAUCUGAUGACAGGAUUGAACCCAGGGAGCAAGAUGCAUUGGACGUGGUAGAGGGUCUGGGAUGAAGAGGCUGUGGUAAUCAGGAGCCCAGACUUCACAUUGCAAAACGUCCAAAUUCAAAUCCUGACUCCACACUCACCAGCUGUGUGACCUCGUUGAACAAGUUACUUCAUGUCUCUAAAACCUCACUUUCCUCUUUGUGGGUAAACCAGGAAAUAGUCGUACCUCAGAGGGCCGUUGGAAUGUGGAAAUGGGAUCACGCGUGGAGGUUUUGGCAGUCUAGGGCAUAUGAGUGCUGCUUAAAUGAUUGAUCCUCGAAGACACAGCUAUUUUUGCUGGCUCCCACCUCCUCCAAUGUACUCCUCCUAAGCCAGCAGUGACCCCAGCCCGAGUCUUCUCUGGGCUAACACUCCUUGUCCUUUCAACCUUUGCUCUAACGUCUGUGUUCCUGACCCUUCACCACCUCAGGCUCUGAAAAAAUAGCCCCUCACUGCCUGAGCUCUUUCCAAACUGAAAGCAAGUGGACGUCUUAAGAGGCCGAAGGUUGUUCCCCUGGGAAUGUAAUGUGACCACGUCCUCGGAUACUCCCUGGUGAUUAGAGCUCGCCAUCUUGAAUUACUUCAUCUUCAUCCUCCCAAGAAGCUUCUUCACAGCCCCAGGCCAAGCAGUGGAAGACAGCCUUGCUGAUAUGCCUUUGUUUCUGCAACAUUAACUUCAUUCAAACCAAUGAGCAGCCCUGAGAUGUGCAUUGUGGAGGUUAUUUGCCUGAGGAGGGUUGUGGGGCUCAGAGAGCUCCAGCACCUUGCUCAAGAUCACACAGCAAGUUAAUGGCCAAGCUGGAAGCAAGGAUCAAGGCUCCGAACUUCCAGUGCACUGUUGACAUCUUCUGCCAGAAUCAAGGCCGCCAUUUUAUUCAGGGAAUUCUUUACGGUCAGUCCAUGUAGUUUGGAUUCCAGAUUGAACAUAUGAUUCAUGCCUGGCCACUCAGAACAUUCCAUUUCCCUGGUCACGGUGAUUGGUUCAGAGAUGGGCAUAUGACCCAGGUCAAGCUAAUGAAUGUCAGCCUCAGGAUUUUUGCUGGAGCUAUGGCAGAAGAGGGGCUGUCUCUCUGCUGGGGUUGCUACAUGCUGAGCUACAUUUGGAGCUGCUGGUUGACUUUUCGCCAUGACAAAAAACAAGCCUGCCUGACAACAAAGCUAAGACAGAAGGAAGUA